AUAUAUAUAUAUAAAUAAAAUCUAACAAUUUGACUUGAGUGUCUGUCUGAAGAUUACUUUCCCUCCUCCCUUUUCCCUCCCCUUUCUCCCCCCUCCUCCCCCUUUACUUUCUAGAGGAAAGUGAACUUCUUAGUGUGUAAUGUGGAAUAGAGCUCUUAGGCAAAGUAAUCUAUUCCCACUGAGCAUAGAAAAAUCAAUGAAGUUGUUCUGGUGUACACAGAGUAUAACGUGGCCAAAUGCAUUUGCUUUUCAAGUUCAUACUAGAUAUGGUACCUCACAGAAUUCAAAGGACAGCUGAUGCCAGGUUUUCUUAUAGAAGUUUCUUUCCACAUUCCGAUUCCAUGCAUGGUCAUCUGUGUCUUGGGGCAGGGUUGUUGCACUUCAUUUUCUAUUCCCCUAAUACCAUUUCUAGAGAAUACAGCAGUGUGCAAUUUGCUGGUGUUGAUAUUAGAGGAAGAGCAGUUCUACAGUGUUUGGACCCAGUGCAACUACAACUGGUGAGAAAACUGUGUCAAAAAUUGUUUCAUGAAAAUGUUUGUGUAUUUCUUUUUUUGUCCUGUCUCUUUUAACCAACCAGCUCUUUUUGUGGCCUCUGAGGAAGAGACACCCAUGUUCCUAUCUUCAUCUUUGUGCUGUCUUCUUGAUGUCCCCUUCGCUGUGGCUGCAAAACUCAGUUUUGUUUUGGGGUUUUAAAUGAGCUUGCAUCUUUGCUGGGACCAGCAUUUGGAUAAUGGGGUAGAAAGGCAUGUCUGCUGUUAUAGCCUGUACAGUUCUUCCUGUGGGUUUUACAGCUUUGCAUGGCAGCAGCUCAUGCAUAUAGCACUAUUCGUGCUGCCACCCUGCUCCCUUUACUGCGUUAUGAUUUUUCUUAGCAUGUUUGUUCCCACCAUGCAGCUCUUGUUUCAAGAUCAUGGCCUAGGGCCCAAAUUCAUUUAUGCUCCAUAACCCAGUGUAAACCAAAAAUGUGGGAAACUUAAUUCUUUUUCCUGAAAAUUGAAAUAUUUGGCAUUUUUGCCCUCUUUUAUUUACCACAGUAAAGUUAAUGUUUAUUUUUGGAGAACAAAUCUAUUUCCAUGUGCUAAACAUAAUUCAUUGAUGGGUUUUCUAGUUGUAAACUCAAAUUGAAAGUGCUACAGAAGUACAUUGUUAAAGUGUGUAUGCGUGUAUAUAUAUAUAUAUAUUAAAGUGAAUCACACAAUACCAGGCUUUUGGUAAUGCUUUGAAAAAGUCAUGUACAGGGAAGAUCUAUUUAAAAUUGGUUUUAAAGCUAGAUUCACAGAUACCAAUUUAAUCUGAUGUGACUUUCUCCUCUUUUUUUAAAAAUUGAUGUUUCAUGAGUAAAGCUUGUUAUCAAACUGUGUUUGGGAUUUAGAGAUAAUCCAGUGAUUCAUCAAAAGCUGGAUGAGGGAAAUAAACAGAGAGAAGAAUAUCAGAGGUAUAUGAGAGCUUUAGGUAUUGCAAAUCCCCUCUGACACAUAAGAAAAACUGAAUAACUUUAUUCACUGAUAAAACCAUAAGAUCAAAAUAACUGUAGCUAAGUUCAGAACAAAUAAUUAGUGAGCAAGUCGUCAUGACUAUUCAUAAUACCCUUAAGCUUUACCAUGCAAGUUUCCUGUGAACAUUUCUUGCUUCUGUUGGGAUUCAAACUCAGUUUGCCUAAUUAUUGUGUAUGCAUUUUCUUGCUGGUAGCUAGGAACUACAUUAAGAAUCUAACUGCUUGACUUUAUUUUCUGCCACAGUAGCAAAAAUUUUACAGUUGAUUUACAUUAAUUAGAAUUAUUAGUGCACAGACACACUAGGUCCACUGAAUGCAUCCGAUGAAGUGAGCUGUAGCUCACGAAAGCUUAUGCUCAAAUAAAUUGGUUAGUCUCUAAGGUGCCACUAGUACUCCUUUUCUUUUUGCGAAUACAGACUAACCUGGCUGCUACUCUAAAACCUGACACUAGGUCUGACUCUCUCCUCUUGUUUGUGCAAGUUUUACACUGACUUCAGUAGAGCUACUUCUGACUUUACCCUGGUGCAAGUGACAAGGGGAAAAAAAAGGUCAGGCCCAUAAGAUCUAUUAACUUAGCUGUUAGAACCAUAGCCUAUAUACUCCUAGGGUUCGGUGUUUGCUUCAGUAAAGCUUUCUAAGCAGGUGGCUAAGUUUUAGCACUUACAUUCAUUUGACAUCAGACUUAUAAAUGGCAUUCGUAAAACAUCAAGGUUAACUGAAAUACAGGGGUGAAUGCUGUAUGGAAUGUAACAUGAGAGCACUAGAGUAAAAAACCCUGCAUGAUAAUUGUGCCCUAGUCUUAUGUCAUAACUGCAAUGCCAGUGACACUAGAACAGUAUUGGUUCAUAUAGUAGAUAAGGUGGUAAAUAUGCAGUCAAAUAUGAUUUCAUCAGUAUUCUUUUUCAAAGAAAACAUUAUAUCAUGAAGCUUUUGUGCUUAAUAAUAGAAGGGAAACGUCACCAGGUUUCCUGCGGUGUUGUAGGAUAAGCAUACAAUGAAGAUGAUAAAUCAGGUUUUUUUAAAUGCAGUGUCUUCAAUGAAAAAAUUAAAUCUCUUGUGGGCUCUUGUCCUAUUAAAGAUCUUUUUUUUUUCCUUUUAACUGAGAAAUUAUCUAUCUUUAUUUAAAACAUCUUUCUGGGGUAUAAUAAAUGCAGAGGCACUCCUUGUAAAAGGAGUUAAUCCUUAAUAUCUCUCUAUAAAUCAAUCCUGAAGAUAGCCUCAAGGGCUGAUACAUCACUACUAACGUAAUAGUCUAUGACUAGCAUAAAUUUAAAAUAAACCAUUUAUUCUGUUUGAAGUCCAUACCCUCAUGCAUCUCAUUUUUCUUUAUUUUUUAUGCUCUGUAUACCUACAUCUUGAUACUCACCUAACAUAGUUUCUGAGCACCUUCCACAUACAUACACAGGCAAACAACCCACAUUUUAAAAAGUGACUAAGCAGUUCUGUAUGCCUAUGUUGGGGAAACCCUAAAGAAACACCAUUUUCAGGGAGUAUUGACUAGCUGCCCUCUGAAAAUCCAGACACCCUUUAAGGUAUCUCAGGUUGGGCACUGUGAUGGGGCAUCCACACCACACAAGACUGGAAGGGGUUUAGAUGGCCAGGUGGGCCAAUUAACUGCCCAGGCUGCACCUGGAAGAGGAGCUAGGGAGCAGGGAAUUAAUUAGACACAAGGCUCAGCUGGACAGGAACUGGAGGGCCUGGAUAAAGCUCAGGAGCUGAGACCAGCAAGGGGUUAUAGGGCAGUAGGCUGCAGUCAUUAGGAGUGGGGAGGUUGGCAAACAAGAAGAGCCAAGGAGAAGGCUCAGGAGGGAAAAUAGCAAGGAACAGGAGUGCAGCCCUUGGCUGUUGAUUAGAGGGCCCCUGAGCUGGAACCCAAAGACGAGGGUGGCCCUGGGUUCCCCUACCAGCCCCUGGGAAUGUGGCACAGACAGACCAAGGAAAGGACAGUGGAUUGUCUGGGACAAUUUGUUCUGGAAAGAUUUUGUAAUCCCUCCCCCGCCCGCAGGGGGAACUAUAUAGUGACCUGACCGGUGGGCUGAGUCAUGAGGGGCGAACACCCUGAGUCAGAGGAUGAUGGGAGAGAGAGCACCAGAGGAGGGAGAAAUGCCUGGCCAGAGCUAGUUCCCAGAGUAACUAGGAGGAGGUGCCACUAACACCCAACCAACACAGGAAUUACUUGGCUACUGCUGAAAUGCAGCUACCUCUGGAGUGCAGCACUGCAACUAUUUUGUGCCAGCAAUAAUUCCCAUGACUUUUUACGAAGGUAAGUACAGAGUAACUUCUGUAACUGUUCUGCUGAGUGCAUUUUAAGAAGGAAAAGUUAUUACUCAGAUUUGAAAUUUAAGCAGAAGCAGCUGGGUUGACUCCUGCUACUCUCACAAAAAUAUCACAGCAGAUUUAAUUAUCAAAAAGUAGUCAGGGCCUCUGUUCCAUGAAAUGAUAAAUGUGUGUAUGGGUUUGGUUUGGUUUUCAGUCCCUGCUAAUCUAUAUUUUCCUCUCUUUGUUUUUUGGAUGGUUGGGUUUUUUGGUUUUUUAAACUAAAGCAGGAUGUAGUGGUGUGUAAAAUUUUGGAUACUCUCCUUUUUGUCAUCUCUUCACCAGUGCCUUUAUGUCCUUUUUCUAAAAAUAUAUAUUUUUAUUUCUCCAGAACACCUCUCAGAGUGGUUAAGCGCAUCUAAUGAGUAGCACCAAAACAACAACAGGACAACUUUGACUAAACAAAGGGCAACUUUCUACUGGCUUUGUACUGUGUCUGACUGUAGAGGGGGCAAUUUGAAAGUCAACUUUUUUUGUCAAGAUCAGUUUCUGGUCAGCAAACCCAAGUCCUACUUCAGAAACUCCCUGCAUUUCCCUGGUAAGUCUAUGGUGCAAGGAAUGCUGAUUGAUCAUGUUUUAAAAAAUUCAGAGUCCAGCAACAUGUUGGGUACAAAUGUAAAUAUUUCUAUACUGUUACCACGAUUAAAUUGUUCACAGAGUUUCACCCACUGAAUUGCUUCAGUAUUUCACAGCUGAAGGACAGUGCUUUCUUCAUUACACUAUCAUCAAAGAAGAUGACCAAACAGUUUAAUUGGCUAAAAUCCAUUCAGGUUCUGACACAUGUUGUAGCUUAGCCCUUAUAGUGGCUUUACUUGGAUCACAUUUACUUUCGUGCCAUUGUGUUUGCUGCUGUUGUCCAUUUGCUGAGUGUCAUCACCAGUGAUGAUAAAAAUGAUUGAGGAAGAGCUAAAAGUCACUUUCUUCUUUGGCCUGUCCCCAGCUUUCUGGGACAUAACUAUUGGUCUUAUUGGCUUUUCAUUCCCUAACACUGGUAUUUCUUUCAUGGUCCUCUGGAACCUUAGCAGGCGAAAGCACAAGAGCUGCAAAAGGCAUCGUCGAAACUGCAAAGAGGAAAAAUUAGACUUAAAUUACACCUUUCAAAACUCUCACUUUCACACAAUGCAUCCAGUAAUGACAAGUGUAUCAAGUAGUUCUCAGUGAAUUGUUAUACCAGUUUCUGUAGUUGCCAACUGGUUUUGAAUUAUUAGGAGUAGUUCAAUGAAUUUACUGGCUCAUUACUGGGUACCUUUCCUCCUUAUGUACCCCACACACUCAAAUGAGCUGGAGGGGAACAACUAGCUGGUUGAGAUCACUAUUACUCAGUUAAAUAUGUUGCCAGUAGAGGGCUCCAUAAUCCCUAGAGAACAGGAAAAGGAGGGAACAGGGAACUGGACUCCAGAGAGACUGGGAGCUAAUUGGAGAGGAUUCAUGCAAGUAAGGGCAGUAGGCCAGGCACAAUAGCCUAGGAACUGGCUAUGGAGAGGGGGCAAGGCAGCCUGCAAUGCUUGUCUCUGAGCUCUUUUCUACAGAGUACAGUACCGCCCCCCUGGAGGGGAGGUGGUGUACCACAGCACUCGCAGAGCCACCCUGUGGUGGGGUUGGUUACUGUGCAUAUGAGCAUAUGUUGCUUUAGAAUCGUUCUAAUAAUUUUUUUCAUGAACUCAAUAGUGCCAACUUCAAAUAUUCAACAAUCAUCAGUCAGGUACUGCAAAAAUCAUGAAUUUGGCUUAAUCAAGAUUUUGGAUCCUCUAGAGUUCAUAAUGGUAAGUUUUUUUUUACUCUACAAUCAUUUUAAAAAAAAAUAAAAGAAUCGGAGUUUCUCCUGUGAUUUGUGUGGCUCCAGAAACUGGAACUUUAUUAAACACCAAAUUUUAUGAACUUAUCCCAAUGGUUGGCAACAAUGAACUAACUAAUUUCCUUUUGAGUAAAAAUAGUAGUGGGAAGGAAAACUAUUAAAUGCUUCCCCCCAUUAAUUGAUUUAGAUCUGGGAUGUGAUCUGCACUUGUCUGCCCGAUUUUAACCACAAUCACUUAUGAUACAUGUGAACUUACUUUACAGAUAUUUAAUGCAAGAUACUCAGUGGCAACUCUCCUGAUUAGAUAGAAUUUUAAGGCUUCCAAGAGUAGAACUGUGUUAAAUGUGGCAAAUAUGGUUUCUUUCACCAUGAGAACAUGUGUACAGUACUUCCAAAUCUUCACAAACCUGAAAAACUCAAAGUGAACUUGAUCCCUGAGGUAACUCACCAGUUUAACACAAAACAAAUUAAUUUGGCAACAUCUUGAAGGGGAUCUAAAGAAAUCCCUGGAAUCAUGGUUGGGCAUUUCCUCAAAAACCACACUCUGAAAAAGCCCCAGCACCCCCGCUUCAAUUUCAGGAUAUGGGUGGGAGAGUCCUUGGUGGCUGACCCCUCUGCAUUUUUAGGGGCUACCCUCUGCGAUCAUUUCCCCAUCUUUGUGUCCCUGAGGAAUACUGCCUGGUAGACAGCCUGCUUCCAAUGAUCCCUAGGGCUCUGCUGACAGCUCCUGGAGACCCAGCGCCAAUUCAGGGGCUGGGAAGCCAUCUGCUGCAGAGUGGGGUGAGUGAGCCUAACAGUACCUGGAAAUGUGACUCCAACCAGGCUCUCUGCUAUGGGGCUGCUCACACUGGAAUCCCAGCAGAUCUCCAGUGGAAACAUGGCUGUGUUUUGGCAAACGUUUUGUCUUAUCUGCAAUAGAGUCUACCAAACAUUUUGGGCUAGAAAAUUGGCAUUUUCCAAUGAAACUUAGUUAUGUUUUGUCAGAAAACUUCCCACCAGCUCUAGACAUUAUGUCUGGGAUGAAUUAAGCCCAUGUAGAAAUCAACCCUACAGAAUGUCACUCAGUUGAUGGGUCCCCAUGAGCUUCAGUGGUUUAUGUGGUUGCUAUUCUAUUGUACUGGGAAUCAGUUUGUGAUCUGGGGAUUGAGUCAGAUCUGCUACAUCAAAAUCACUCAGUUCCAAAUGUUCUUUAUGUACAUGACUGCAAAGCCCAAGUGGGAGAUCCUGGAAAACUUCAUCUCUAAAAGUGUUCAGGUUUGAAAACUGGAUUCCAUAUCCACUAUAAUCCUCACAGCUGUGCCAUAUGCUUCCUUUGACUGCUCAGAAUGUGGCCAUAGCAAUAGGCCAUGAUCCCAACAGGUGCCACUAGGCAACCAAGAAAGAAAAAGAGCACAAAGGAGGCAUCACUGGGGUUUUUUGACUGCCAGUCCACUGAACAACCUAGUCCAUGUAUCUCCA